rnacentral:lncRNA from 1 species
GAAAAAGGCUCCUGUUGACCCUCAGAGAGCAGCAUCUCCAGUGUUCAGCUGUGUGUCCAUGAAGAGCAACAGAUCCAUGCAUCAGCCUCCCCAAUUCAGUGAUGGAUCUGCUGUGAGAUCUGCGUCUGUUGAUCUAUGGAUGAAGCAAACAGAACAGCAGCUCUUGCCUCAUGAAAGUGAACUGCAGAUGAAUGAGACGAGACCUCAGCUCUGGCCUAAUGGAUGUGAACAACAGUUGAAGGACACAAGACCUCAGCCCUGGCCUACUGGAAAUGAACAACAGUUGAAGGACACAAGACCUCAGCUCUGGCCUAAUGGAUGUGAACAACAGUUGAAGGACACAAUACCUCAGCUCUGGCCUAAUGGAAGUGAACAACAGUUGAAGGACACGAGACCUCAGCUCUGGCCUAAUGGAAGUGAACUACAGUUGAAGGACACGAGACCUCAGCUCUGGCCUAAUGGAUGUGAACAACAGUUGAAGGACACGAGACCUCAGCUCUGGCCUAAUGGAUGUGAACAACAGUUGAAGGACACGAGACCUCAGC